rnacentral:pre_miRNA from 1 species
AGUGGGAUAGCUGGGUCACUUGGUUGGUCCUUUUCUAACCUUUUUAGAAAUCUUCAAACUGCUUUCCAAAGUGGUUGUACUAAUUUGCAGUCCCACCAACGAU